GACGAACGCUGGCGGCAUGCCUAAUACAUGCAAGUCGAGCGAACAGAUGAAGUGCUUGCACUUCUGACGUUAGCGGCGAACGGGUGAGUAACACGUCAGGAAUCUACCUAUAAGCGGGGGAUAACAUUCGGAAACGGGUGCUAAUACCGCAUAAUAUCUUCUUCCGCAUGGAAGAAGAUUGAAAGACGGCUCUGCUGUCACUUAUGGAUGACCCUGCGGUGCAUUAGUUAGUUGGUGGGGUAAUGGCCUACCAAGACAAUGAUGCAUAGCCGACCUGAGAGGGUGAUCGGCCACAUUGGGACUGAGACACGGCCCAAACUCCUACGGGAGGCAGCAGUAGGGAAUCGUCCGCAAUGGGCGAAAGCCUGACGGAGCAAUGCAGCGUGAGGGAAGAAGGCCUUCGGGUCGUAAAACUCUGUGAUAAGAGAAGAACAAAUUGUAGAGUAACUGCUACAGUCUUGACGGUAUCUUAUCAGAAAGCCACGGCUAACUACGUGCCAGCCGCCGCAGUAA
rnacentral:rRNA from 1 species